rnacentral:rRNA from 1 species
UACGUAGGGGGCAAGCGUUGUUCGGAAUUACUGGGCGUAAAGGGCGCGUAGGCGGCAUGGCAAGUCGGGUGUGAAAGCCCGGGGCUCAACCCCGGAACGGCUUUCGAAACUGCCAAGCUAGAGUACGGAAGGGGCAACUGGAAUUCCCAGUGUAGCGGUGAAAUGCGUAGAUAUUGGGAAGAACACCGGAGGCGAAGGCGGGUUGCUGGGCCGAUACUGACGCUGAGGCGCGAAAGCCAGGGGAGCAAACAGG